AGCAGCUUUAGGCCACAAAAUAGAAAAGAAUUAAAGAAGGUAAAAAUUGCUAAAAGGCAGCAGCUUUUGGCCACACAAUCACCGAAAGAAAUAGCCAGAGGUAAAGCAGCUUUGACCACGAUUGCCGACUCCAUACUCCUUCACUGCCUUCCUGGUGGACUGGGUGCUGAGUGUAUACUACUGAGGAUUGCCUUGUCUCAAACCCAUCGGCUGAACUGCUUAGUUCAACUCACUCCAAAAGCUUUUGGAAGUCCCUGGAGGAUGCUACACAUAGCCUGGGGCAUUUGAAGUGUUAGCCUACUUACUUUACAAAGACUGCCACGCCCAUUGUGGGAUGGAGUCCAGUGCUG
rnacentral:lncRNA from 1 species